CUGAGGCUACAACUGUACCUUCAACUACACCACCUAUCACUCCAACAAUUCAACCAACUACCCAAUCCACUACUCGUAAGCCUUUAAUUUGCCAAAACGGAGGAAUUGACAAUGGUCACAACUGCUCAUGUCUCAUUGGAUUUAUUGGACCUGUCUGUGAACAUGUUGAAGUUGCUGUUGAGCCAGAUACAAUCAACAGAACGGUUGUGGUUAAUAUAGACAUCAAUGAGGAAUAUAUUGAUGAAUAUGAGGAUGAGGCAUCACAGGAAUACAAAGAAUUUGUUGGAAACUUCACCAGCCAGAUGGAGGAAUAUUACAAAACAAGGAUAGAAAAUGUUAAAGAAGUGGUGGUCAUAAGUGUCAGUGAU